UUUGGCCCUAAUUCACCAAAAUACAAUCUGUUGGCGCGCGGUGAAGGAAAUCCCCAAAUUGAAAUCCCUAAAAAUCGUUCGCGCCUCUCUCAAAAGGGCGCUGAAGAGAAAUCCCCAAAUUAAUCCCGCUUCUCUCUCGUUCUUGCUCUCUCCUGCCUGCAGCUCCUUCCUCCGUCUCUCUCAACGGCCUCCAUCCCCACCACUCCGUGCGUCACAGUCCGUCAAGCCCUCCCUCGUCCGUUCCCAACGUGCAGGUGGUGGGCUUCUUAGCUGGAUGAGGGGUGGUGCGCCAUCUAAGCCCAGCCCCAACAUUAUGAACAAAUUCCCAGAAAGCAGUGACACUCUUCCCAAUUGAUCCUACAAGUUUAAAUGAAAGAACAAGCCAGUCUCCCUCUCUGAUGGCAAUGACUUAAACUAUUAUUUUGCAUUAUGAUGGCAUUGCAUUUAUUUCAUAUUGAUCAGUGACAUAAUUCCCUCAAAUAGAUUCAUGUCAUAUUUCAUAUUUUCUACUGAUAUUGCAUAUUUGAAUUUGUUUGUUUGUUUUGGUAGAGCAAGCAAGGAGAAGCUGGCAUGCUUGGUACACAGAGAACAAUUUGCCUCUUCCCAAUCAGUUGCAUUACCUUUCACAUCCUACUCCUUCACGUGGCGCUUCGCAAGUUGCUAAACCACAGACCACUUCACAGGAUGCCCAACCACAAACAAAUUCACGAGUUCAACGACCACAUGUAUUUCUACAGCAUACCCAAUCCAAUGCGCCAUCACAGAACUCCUCACAAGCUAUGCAAGGAAUCUCUCGCGCUCCAUCACAGAACUCCUCACAAUCUCAAAAUGUAGAGGACAACUUUAAGUUAGACCAUGAUUUAGAUGAACCAUUCGCAGAGCGUGAAGUUGGUAUUCAAGGUUCGAGAUAGUUGCAGUGGCUCCCUAGAUAAGAUUUCUCCACAAGCACAUCAAGGAUCAUCGCACGCAAGUCAUGACAUCGAAUAUUCUGAUUGAGGUGCAUUCCGAUUGAGGUAAUAAGACGUUCUAGCAAAAACCAUGAUUUCAACUUGUCAUUUUGAAAGCUCUCUCGGGAAGAUCUUGUUAAGGAUGGCAUCGUCAACUUUUGAUUAAUUAUCUAUUCCAUGUAGUUUUUGCAAUGUAGUUGGAUUGGAAUAUUUUGGCAUGUUUGAUCUACUUUUGAAUGUUGACAAUGUUAUGGACCUACUUUUGACAUUUUAUAUAUGGAGUAUUAGUUUCUCCAAUGAAAAACGAAUUAUUUUGGUUUU